rnacentral:rRNA from 1 species
UACGAAGGGGGCUAGCGUUGCUCGGAAUCACUGGGCGUAAAGCGCACGUAGGCGGACUCUUAAGUCGGGGGUGAAAUCCUGGAGCUCAACUCCAGAACUGCCUUCGAUACUGGGAGUCUCGAGUCCGAGAGAGGUGAGUGGAACUGCGAGUGUAGAGGUGAAAUUCGUAGAUAUUCGCAAGAACACCAGUGGCGAAGGCGGCUCACUGGCUCGGUACUGACGCUGAGGUGCGAAAGCGUGGGGAGCAAACAGG